AGCAGUUGGAGGUGGUGGUGCUUGCGGGCGGACCGGAGCAGCGCAGCGGCAGCCAUGGAUCACUGAGUUCUCAGGUGUGUAGAUGUACAGAAAUAGAUUUAUCCUAUCUGAUGACAGCCAGAGUUCCAGAACACUUGGAGAAGGUACUUGAAGCAAAUACCCUGUUGAGGAACCUGAAAAGAGCUCUAUAAUGAGAUCAACAUGCAGCAGACAGUGAUUUAUCAAGCCAGUCAAGCUCUGAACUGCUGUUUUGAUGAGGAGCAUGGAAAAGGGUCACAAGGAGAAGCAGAAGCAGAGAGACUUCUCUUAGCAACUGAGAAGAGAACUGCUUUAUUGGAAGAACUGAAUAGACUGAAGAGUGAGGGGACCUCAUAGUAAAAGAGAUAAAGCUGCUUCUAUAUACACCGAAUAUGCUCCAUCCAGGGGAUCUCUUUCCAUUUCAGAAAUGCGUCUACCUCUGAAAGCAGACUUUGUGUGUGGUACUGUUCAAAAGCCAGGUUCCCUUCUUGUCUCCUUUGGAAGGUCAUAUAUAUCUGAAGUUAAAAUGCCAAGUGGACUCCUCUGUGGAAGAGAAAGGGUUUUUGACUAUGUUUGAAGAUGUUAGUGGCUUUGGAGCAUGGCAUAGGCGCUGGUGUGUGCUGUCUGGGAACUGUGUAUCCUACUGGACAUACCCGGAUGAUGAAAAACGAAAGCAUCCUUUGGGCCGGAUAAACUUGGCUAACUGCACAAGUCAUCAAAUUGAACCUGCCAACAGGGAGUUCUGUGCCCGUCCCAACACUUUUGAACUAAUAACUGUCUGACCUCAGAGGGAAGAUGACAGAGAGACUCUUGUCAGCCAGUGCAGAGACACCCUCUGUGUUACCAAGAACUGGCUGUCUGCGGAUACUAAAGAAGAGCGUAAUAUUUGGAUGCAGAAGCUCAACCAAGUCCUUGUUGACCUUCACAUGUGGCAGCCUGAUGCCUGCUAUAAAGCAAUUGGAAAGCUUUAAACUCUGGAAGAGAAAGGCAAAGAAAAUAUGUAUACAAAACCGACAGGAACUGCACAAAAAAGAAAAGGAACUUAAAUGGAAAUGUGGGAAGUCUUCUGGGUCACUUGUGCUUUAAAUUUCAGAGAGUGUUUAACAUUAUACAGGAGUAUAUUAUGCAGUAUUUGUAUUUCACUGAAGAAGUCUAAAGCUUUUUUUACUUCCUAGCUUUUGAGUAUGAUGGAAGUGAUUUGCUGUUUGCUAAAUGUGCUGGAUAACUCCUUUUUUUGGAAGUCUUUUUUAGCCAAGUGCUUUCUUUUCUUUAAACAACUACUGCAGGAAGUCACACUCCAGGGGAGGAAGGGGGGCAAGCUAGUGAAAAACCAAGCUUCCUAGAUAACUAUGCUCCCUGAAAGAAACAAUAGCUCAGAGUUUCCUAACAAGGAUGAUGCUGAAGAGCAUUUACUAUUGGAGGGGUUUUCAGGUUGCUUUUGUAAUGAUCAGGCAUAGAAGUUACAUUCUCUAACAUGCAUGAUGGGUAUUUCUUGCUUGCACAGUGUCCUUGCAGCCAGAACAAAACACACACACAAUAUAUUUAUACUUCUUUUGCCAUUUCUCAUACCAACUGGUAUGGAUAGGUGCAUGGCUUGUAUACUAUGUGGUUUACAGGUGUGGAAUUAUGUAUGCAUUAUAUUGCACUUCGAUAAAGAUGAAAUGUCUUGAUUAUUUCUGUUAGGACUGCUAUAUUAAAAAGAGAAAAAUAAUAUUAGGGUUGUAUAUGUCAACAUUUCCUGGGACUUAUGGUUUUUGCAAGUUAGAGUUCUGCAUUUGAGAACCAGGAGUAGGUUGUAAAAGUGCUUUCUCUUACUAUAAGACACUACACAGCUGCUAUAUACCAACUAAUGCUCUGCUGGCUGGAAGGAUGUCUCUUCUCCCCCCUCGCAGACACGUCCAUAAAUGCAGAUAACAGCAGUACUUCAGAGCAUCCAUAAAAUAACAGAACUUCUCAGUUAAAACGUAGGAUUUUCACAGCUUUUCACUGGGCUGGGUGAAAUACCAGCUCAUUAAUUGCAAAUGCAAUAGUGCAAUACUUAUAAUUGCAAUUGCUGUCAUGUAUUCACACUUGAAACACAAAAUUCUGUUAGCUUCUACUGUUUUCAUCCUGCCACUUAUGUCAUUUCUUUUACAGCUAGUUCUCUUUUUCUGAUGUCUUUAGAUAUUUCCAACCUAUGUAUUGAGGUUUAUUUUAUUCAUUUCAAAUAAAGAAGACACUUUCUCCUUGGUU